GUCCUGUUGAAACAGUUCUUCUUGCAAAUGUGGUGUUGCAGAUUUCCAGUGUGCGGAUCUCCAUGAGCACGUUUGCACGUGGUAUUUCAAGGUUUUCCCGUUGAUGGCCUCCAGCUUCCAGAUUCACUGCUUGGAAAAGGGAGGCUACCAAGAGCUUUCAAGCAUUUGCACUUUGGUAUUCUUGCUACUUUCCUUUCCAUGUUACUUUAAUCUUUUGUUUGUGUUCANNNNNNNNNNNNNNNNNNNNNNNNNNNUCUGCGCUUUGGCCAGUUCUGCAGAACCUCUAUUUCUUGAGGUUAUUCUGUGGGGAUUUUUCUCUGUUCCUCUUUCCUAGCUGUUCAUAUUAGUUCUUCAUCAGUAGUGUUCUCCUUUAACUCAAACAAAUUGCACUGGUUUACUAAAACUAUUCGUAAGCAGGUGCAGUCCUCUUCUGCAAGAACGCCUUUAUUUUGAUUGGAGUGGUUUAGCUUGAGGCAAUCGGAGGCAGUUUUAAACUCAGCUUUGCAUUGAACCUGUGGGAAGCCUGUUUGAGUUUAAAAACAGUUUGAGGUGAAUUAGUGGAACUUCUUAUGUGGGCAUAUCUUCUAUGACAGUGGGCGCAAUUCCACUGGGGAAGAUGGUGUUACAGCAGCAGGUUGCUUCCAUCAAGUCUCUCCACAGCUUGAGCGUUUUUUCAAAGCAUAAGGUGAAGACUUUCCUGCAGUAGGUUCUUUUGCUAGUGCUGCAGAAGUAAUUCAAAUGGCUGCAAAGACAGUUGCCCCCUUUCAGACUAGCUGCAAGCAGACCAAGUUGGAGAGACAGUACAGGCUUGUAGGAGAAGUGCUUUUCCGCACAUGGCGUUGUAUUUUGACUGAUGAAAGCAAGAGGGGAGCACUAGCUGCGUGGAAGCUCAUCAGGGCCAGAGUUGUCGCUCUCACCAGUGUCGGCUGUGGAAGUGAUUGCUGUGUUCCCCGGGCCAAAGCCCUGGGGAAGAGCCAAGCUGGGCCUCCGGGCGCGUGAACCCCACCUUUCCUAGUCCCCGGUCUGCGUGGGGAAGGGAAGACUUCUAAACAAACCUUGGCAACGCCGGGAAGGUGAGUUUGGCUCUGCAAAGGCGUUGGUGCGUUUGCAGUACUCCAGUCACGGGUAAGUUAGUUCUCUCCUGCCACGAGCUCCUGAUGUUGCCUCAGGUAGGAUCCCUUUUGUUCGUAUUCGAGUGUUUUGCAUUGACAUAUUUCACUGAAGAACCUGGGGAAUCUGUCCUCCUGCGGGGACGUGAACUGAGAUGCUUCCCUCCCAACAUUGCUGUGUGAUCUCAGACGGUAGCUCUUAAGCUAAAGGAAAAUUGUCAUUAAUUGUUGGUAGUGCUAGUGCUGCCACAGCACUAAUUAUAAUUGAGAAGGCACUUCUGUUACAAGCCUGUGCUUCAAGCUGUUUAUUGCUACAUUAAAAAAGUGGUAGUGAAGUGUAACAUGUGAUCUUGGGUGUCAGCUGUGUUUUGGGGACAAGUUUUGCAAACUUCAGCUUGUCUGUUGGUUUUCCUCUCCCUGCUCCAACUUCUACCCAGAUACAGCAGAGCCCCAAAACCCCUCACUUGAGAUGAUGUUAUGGUUGCACCAAGAUCUCUGAAAGAGUUUCUCCUAAAAUAUUCAGGCUUAGUCACCAGUGUGAG
rnacentral:lncRNA from 1 species